rnacentral:lncRNA from 1 species
UGUUUGAUUGUGGAUGUCCAACUAACAUGAGCUUAUGAGUGAUGUGGAGGUUUAUACAAAAUUCCUAGAACUUAGUGCUGUUGAGUGGUCGGCCAUUAUCCGUAAUGAUGACCCAUGGUAGCCUAAAGCAACAAAUGAUAGAUUUCUAAAGCAAAUCUGUCAUCUUCUUCUCAAUAAUUUAUGCCAAGGGUUUUACCUCCAUCCACUUUGUAAAGUAGUUGAUUGCGACAAUGAUAAACUUUUGCUGUCCAGUAGCUGGUGGAAAUAGAUCGAGA